GGAGGUAGUGACAAUAAAUCACAAUGCGGAACUUCUGUUUUGCAAUUGGAUUGAGAACAACGCACAACACUUAUCGAUAAACAAUUGGAGGGCAAGUCUGGUGCCAGCAGCCGCGGUAAUUCCAGCUCCAAUAGCGUAUAUUAACGUUGUUGCAGUUAAAAAGCUCGUAGUUGAAGUGAAGUGUGAACCUUCUGGAUUUUCGUUUGAAUUUCUUGCUGGUUCGCACUCCUUCCAAAUAGUUUGCAUGGGUAUUCACUUAUCUGUGUAUUGCAUUUGGUCAUUUACUGUGAGAAAAUUAGAGUGUUCAAAGCAUACGUUUGUUUGAAUACAUUAGCAUGGAAUAAUUCGAAAAGGCUUUCAUGUUCGAUUUGAUUGGUUUGUUCGUGAAGGCAAGAUUAAAAGGGACAGUUGGGGGUAUUCAUAUUCAAUAGUCAGAGGUGAAAUUCUCGGAUUUAUGGAAGAUGAACAAGUGCGAAAGCA
rnacentral:rRNA from 1 species